rnacentral:rRNA from 1 species
CCUACGGGUGGCAGCAGUGGGUAUAUUGGACAAUGGGCGAAAGCCUGAUCCAGCCAUGCCGCGUGUGUGAAGAAGGCCUUCGGGUUGUAAAGCACUUUCAGUGGGGAAGAAAGCCUUGGGGCUAAUACCCUCGAGGAAGGACAUCACCCACAGAAGAAGCACCGGCUAACUCCGUGCCAGCAGCCGCGGUAAUACGGAGGGUGCGAGCGUUAAUCGGAAUUACUGGGCGUAAAGCGCGCGUAGGCGGUCUGAUAAGCCGGUUGUGAAAGCCCCGGGCUCAACCUGGGAACGGCAUCCGGAACUGUCAGGCUAGAGUGCAGGAGAGGAAGGUAGAAUUCCCGGUGUAGCGGUGAAAUGCGUAGAGAUCGGGAGGAAUACCAGUGGCGAAGGCGGCCUUCUGGACUGACACUGACGCUGAGGUGCGAAAGCGUGGGUAGCAAACAGGAUUAGAUACCCGAGUAGU